rnacentral:rRNA from 1 species
UACGGGGGGGGCAAGCGUUGUUCGGAAUUACUAGGCGUAAAGGGCGCGUAGGCGGAUGUUUAAGUCGGGGGUGAAAGCCCGGGGCUCAACCUCGGAAUUGCCUUCGAUACUGGACAUCUUGAGUACGGGAGAGGUGAGUGGAACUCCGGAGUGGUAGAGGUGAAAUUCGUAGAUAUUCGGAAGAACACCAGUGGCGAAGGCGACUCACUGGCCCGUUACUGACGCUGAGGCGCGAAAGCGUGG